rnacentral:lncRNA from 1 species
GGCUUUGCUAGUUCUCAUCCUCGAGGGCUGGGUUCCUAAUUCUAGUCAGCGUGCCUCCAUGGCCCCACCAGUCCUUGUCCUCAGGGGUUGGGCGCCUAAUUCUAGUCGGCAUGCCUCCGCGGCUCCACCAGUCCUCGUCCUUAGGGGUUGGGCGGCUAAUUCUAGUCGGCAUGCCUCCGUGGCCCCUCCAGUCCUCAUCCUCGGGGGCUGGGCACCUAAUUCUGCCUCCACA